GCAUUAUAAUGAAGUUCUGUAGAGAUCAUCGUGUUUUUAAAUGUUUUCUUAACAAAGAUUACUUUGGUGACGCAAAAAUGAUUCCAGCUAAUCGUGAAUCAUAUCGCAAUAUCCGUCAAAAUAAUCACAAUAUGAUGUUUUUACCAUAUCGUGCAGCCCGGUAUUAAAGAACUCAUCGGGGCCGGAAACAAUUGAUCGGGACAUCCCUAGUUAAAGCUGGGAAGCUCAGAUUGAUUUCCUGUAGCACUUAACGGAAGUGCGUGUCCUGUCAGCAGAAGCCCAUCGUUCACGCUGCUAAAACCCAAAUUUAAUGAAUAUAGUGUCGAUGCACAGUGUUUGUACCCCCCCAAGCCCCGCCCCUUUUGGAACCUCCUCCUUUCCUGUAAUUAGAUAUGCUACAUGCUAGGCUAAUCUAUGUUGAACAGACAACCAGCUAGCUAAUCUACAUCAAUCGUUAAGUUAGCUAAUGUUUUGCUGACGUUAGCUAUCAGAUAUAACUAGCUGGCUAAAGAAAAACUUCAGAUGUGACUUAAUGUCUCUUUUAUCUUUGAACCAUCUUCAAAAUGUGGUUGUCUUUUAAACAUAGCCUAGCUUAGCAUAUCUAAGUACAGGAAAGGAGGAAGUUGACUGAGGUUUGCAGAGUGAAAAGGGGCGGGGCUUAGGAUGAAUGCUCCAAAGUAAACAUAAGAAUCCACCAUUGAUCCCAUCUGACAUACUUUCACCACCUGUGAUCAAACUGUCUCCUCCUCUUCCUCCUCUUCCUCCUUUGCAACCUGCAAACCCGAUCAUUGCCAAACCGGGAAGAUUCAGGCCUCAAGUGGACCGCUGCUGUCACCACAGACACAAUGACAGUUUGACCAAAACCGGACGACAAGUUUAACCUCAAAGGAAAGACUUUACCACAGAGGGAGUACAAACUGACCUCAGCAGGAAGUGAUCCAGGACUGUUAUUAAGGACUACAACUUCACCACAGUAGGACUACAAUUACCACAUCACUGUUAUCUGUCUCUUCUGUCUACCUCCUCCUCAAGAACUUAAAAGGCACCUUGAUUGAUUUUUACUGGGCUGUGUUAAUGCUGGAACGACACGAUCUGCUUCUCAACUCUCUCGAUGGUCCAGAGCUUCUCGUGGAAUCUGGUGUUUAGAUUUAGUUAUUUACUCAUUUAAAUCAGUUAAAUGUCAGUUUUAUUUGUCUGGAUUUCAAUGGAAAGUUCUCAGGGCGCAGUCGUACUUCCAGUUGGUUUUAUAUGAACUAAAGCAGACAGGAAAAACUCACUUUGUUGUAUUUUUGUAUUUGUGUAAAAGGUGGCAGUGGAUGGUUUGUUAUUUCACUCUGAACAUUGGCUCUAAAUUCACAGUCCCAAAUCCUCACCAGGACCUCAAAGAGAGUUCAGAACCAGUUUCUCUGUUCUUGUAUCAAUGCAGAUCGUAACCACGCGGUGACCGACGGGAAACUGAACGGGAGAAUCCGCCUGCAGUUUGAAUGCAGGGCGGGAACUCACAGGGAACCUUUGGAUCUUCUGGGACUAAAAGGAACCGAACUGAACUGAAAGACAUCAAAUCAGAACAUUUCACACAAACAUUUCCAACAUGUCUGUGAGAGAAAACGGGAAAACACAACAAUUCUUCCACAACAAAACGACGGCCGACGUGAAUGCGCAACCUUUUCUUCAGAUUUGUUUGUUCCCAGUCUUGUUUUUAAUAUAUUGAUGAAUGUUGAGUAAUCUGGCGCUCUGGUUGGUCAGACUCUUUGACGUCUGGAGAAAGUCAAGAAUGCUAGUCGCUGCAGGGCAACAUGACAUCAUUAAAACCGUCUGAAGACUUCAUCAACAGAACCACAGACAGUUGGCUGAACAGAGCCGUCUGUGUGGUAAGGGGUUGUCAAAGCUGAUCAAAUGUCUAGUUGGUUUUAAAGGUCCAGUGUGGAGGAUUUAGUGGCAUCUAGUGGUGACGUUGCAGAUUGAAACCAUCUGAAUACAGAGGAACUAAAACGACCCAAUCUACAGCCAGUGUUUGUCUGUUCUGGGCUACUGUACAAACAUGGCGGUUCAAUAUGGCGGACUUUGUAGAAGAGGACCCGCUCCCUCUGUAGAUAAAAACAUCUCGUUCUAAAGAAAACAAUUAUUAUUUUCAGGUGAUAAUACUCUAUGAACAUUUCUGACAAUAGAUCCUCCUCAAUGUGACACACUGGACCUUUAAAAGAUCUAUUCAGACUUUCUCCAGAUUUCUAUUAGCUGGAACCAGACGUAUUGAUUAGAGUUGUUCCGAUACCUGUAUCAGAAAUUCCUCUGAUAAAGCCUAAAAUCAGGUAUUGCAAGUACUCGUGUCUGUGCACUGAUCUGAUACCACGUAAUGUAUUCGCCUCCAGCAGGGUCCUGUUUACCUACCCGAACAUUAGCUGGGAAACAACGAUAGCAAUCAUACAGGCUUAAUAUUAAACGCUAUAUAUUUAUAUUUUAACGCACAUGAUGAUGAUGAUGAUGAUGAUACCAGAUCGGUACUCGGUAUCGGCCGAUAUGCAAAGUUCAGGUAACCAAUCAGUGUUGAGAAGGAAACAAAUGGUAUCUCUCAUAGUGAGUUUACAUUACGCCCCCUACAGUGACGUGUAGUUGGUCCAUCCUCAGACCUUGUUCUGAAAAGUUUCUACUGGGAAGAAAUAGUCCCAGUGCAAACUGCUGACACUGCUGGUGUGGUUACCCAGUAACCAGGAGUGUCUGCGAGGGUGGACGCUGGUCGGAGGAAACUCCGUUAAUCUCUUUGUGUUUGAGCGUGGAAACCUCAGAAAAUCAAACUGAAAGUGAAACAGCUUCCAUGAAAUGUAGUGUUCCCACUUUAAGGUAAUUAACAUUCCUCCUCUGAUUAUUCAUCUAGCGCCACCAGCUGGUCUUCAGUCUUCAGUGCAGAGGAAGACCCUCAGACUGCCACAGACACCGAUGUUACCCACAGAACCAAUCCUAACCAACGCUCUGAUCCACUCAGUCAGCGCCACCAUUGUGUCAAAGUGUCUGCACUCACAGACAUGUUGGGAAUAUUUAUUUAUUUAUUUAGAUUUAUUGUUUGUAUCAUGAGGAAAGCGUUCCCCUGCCUCUCUGUGGGAACUGAACCCAAACGUCCUCUUUCUUCCACAAACACUGAAAGGAAGGAGACGUUUGGGUUCUAACGUCGUCCGUCCUCCUUCCUCCUCAUGUAUUCUGUCUCUGUGACCUCCUCAUGUGCUGAAUUGUAAUAAAGCAUUUCAAAGAUUAGCUGUGUGAGACACACACACACACAUAUACACACACACACACACACACACACACACACACAGGAGGAUGUCAGGUGAUUGCAUCAUGUGUGUGUGUGUGAGUGAGAGAGCAGCCAUGAAAAUGAACAAUAUGUUUUUGUGUUUGUGUGAAAAUGUUCUGCCACAAGAUGGAAGCCGUGUGUGUGUGUGUGUGUGUGUGUGUGUGUGUGUGUGUGUGUGUGGGCUUGUCAUCUCAGUAAUGGUGUUGCUAUCAGAGAGAGAAAGACAGAGAGGCUGGUUGUCCCUGACGACGGUGCGCCGUGUUGCCUGGCAACAGCGAUAACAAUGGCCCACCCCCAGUGUUCUAGAAUGUGGGCGUGGCCUGAGGAAGAGCGAGGGGGGGGGGUCUUUAAUUGUGACACAAACAGCUGUGACGUUAAAAUUGUUGAUAUUUAUCAUAAAUCUGCAAAUAAAGACGACAAAAAAACAAACAAAUAAGCAAACAACAACAACAACAACAGAUCCUUUAUGGAAGCAGUUUCCUAAUAAUUUAUAUAUUACUAAUUAUACUGAACAUUAAGAAAAUAAAAGCAGCGUUGAAUUAGUGAACUUUGAAUUAAUUAUGAAUAUGAAUUCACAUUAAAUUGACUUAUGCAGGACAAGAGCUUUCCAAACAAUAAACACAUUAUGAACUUUAUACUACACUAUACUAUAAUAUAUAUAUAUAUAACAGCUUUAUACCACAUUAACAUACAGUGUCUGUGAAGGAGAGACUCGUAGGUUCACAUACAACCAUUUUCAUUCAGGUAUCUUGAGGUCAGAGGUUAAUAAUAAUAAUAAUAAUAAUAAUAACCAGUUUUUCCUUCGCCAAAAUUUAGCCUAAAGAGGAAAUUAUACCGGGUACGGCUUAAUCACAUCGCAUCCCACAGAGAGCAUUUCAGAGGCAGAGCGUCCUCAGAGCUUCCUUAGAGUGUCUUCAGAGCGUCUUCAGGUCGUCCUCAGGUCGUCUUCAGGUCGUCUUCAGGUCGUCUUCAGAGCGUCUUCAGGUCGUCUUCAGAGCGUCUUCAGGUCGUCUUCAGAGCGUCCUCAGAGCGUCUUCAGGUCGUCUUCAGAGCGUCUUCAGGUCGUCUUCAGAGCGUCUUCAGGUCGUCUUCAGAGCGUCUUCAGGUCGUCUUCAGAGCGUCUUCAGGUCGUCUUCAGGUCGUCCUCAGAGCGUCUUCAGAGCGUCUUCAGGUCGUCUUCAGAGCGUCUUCAGAGCGUCUUCAGAGCGUCUUCAGAGCGUCUUCAGGUCGUCUUCAGAGCGUCUUCAGGUCGUCUUCAGAGCGUCUUCAGAGCGCCUUUAGAGCGUCUUCCUGCCCGUCGUUGUUUAUUUGCGUAUUUUGUCUUUAAAAAGGAAACAAACGAUGAGUUUCUCUGCUUUAACCUCCUC